rnacentral:rRNA from 1 species
UACAGAGGGUGCUAGCGUUGUCCGGAAUCAUUGGGCGUAAAGCGCGUGUAGGCGGCUCGGUAAGUCCGCCCUGAAAGUCCAGGGCUCAACCCUGGGAUGCGGGUGGAUACUGCCGGGCUCGAGUCCGGAAGAGGCGAGUGGAAUUCCCGGUGUAGCGGUGAAAUGCGCAGAUAUCGGGAGGAACACCAAUGGCGAAGGCAGCUCGCUGGGACGUGACUGACGCUGAGACGCGAAAGCGUGGGGAGCAAACAGG